AAACCAGACUCCUACGGGAGGCAGCAGUGAGGAAUAUUGGUCAAUGGCCGAGAGGCUGAACCAGCCAAGUCGCGUGAGGGAUGACGGCCCUACGGGUUGUAAACCUCUUUUGUCGGGGAGCAAAGAGAGUCACGUGUGACUCAUUGAGAGUACCCGAAGAAAAAGCAUCGGCUAACUCCGUGCCAGCAGCCGCGGUAAUACGGAGGAUGCGAGCGUUAUCCGGAUUUAUUGGGUUUAAAGGGUGCGCAGGCGGAGGUGCAAGUCGGCGGUCAAAUUGCGGGGCUCAACCCCGUACUGCCGUUGAAACUGCAUCCCUUGAGUGCGCGAGAAGUAUGCGGAAUGCAUGGUGUAGCGGUGAAAUGCUUAGAUAUCGCGCAGAACCCCGAUUGCGAAGGCAGCGUACCGGCUCCACACUGACGCUGAGGCACGAAAGCGUGGGUAUCGAGCAGGAUUAGAUACCCGGGUAC
rnacentral:rRNA from 1 species